rnacentral:misc_RNA from 1 species
ACUGGUUGUAUAGUGGUUAUUGUUCACGAUGUACGUAAAUUGCAACGUUUGAAACUAAAUAUAAAUUCACAAGAAUCAUCCGGACGUCUAAUGUUCAACCUCGAGCAAUAAUUAGAAAACGCACUGGAUGAUGAAAGUGUCAUAUUUUUGGAGAACACGUGUAGUCGACGAAUAAAGACGGCGUCGUGUUAUUUUUACCUCGUGGAUUCACGUUUUUGCAAAACGGGAGCCGGCAUUGACUCAGAUGUCGAGAAGUUGUUAAAUCAGGAUUUACCGAAAUUCCUCGCCAGUCAGCCAAUGAUAUUCCCACUAACAUUGAGAUAUCAGACGACCGAGCAGA